UGUAUUUUUCCAGUUCUUGGA
rnacentral:piRNA from 1 species